GGAUCAGAAAUAUAGAUUUUGAUAGCAAAGCUACAUUAGUCUUGAGCUCUUGUGAGGAAAGUCAUUGGCUUCAUCCUCUUUAGAGUUAGACUGUUGGGGUGGGUAUAAAAGAUGGGGUCUGUAAAAUCUUUCUUUCUUAGAAAUUUAUUUCCUAGUUCUGUAGAAAUGGUUGUAUUUGAUGUUCUCCAUGAUUUAAUAAUAUACUUGUGGACUAAAAGAUAUAAGUGCUGUAUAAAAUCAGCCAAUUAUGUUAAACUAGCAUAUCUGCCUUUAUUGUGUUUGUCAUUAGCCUGAGUAGAAAGGACUUUAAAAUUUUUUUUAGGAAGCAUUUGAAUGCAUUUUGUUUGGUAUUAUAUUUAUUCAGUAAAAUAUUUAAUUAGUGCUAAGUGUGAACUGGACCCUGUUGCUAAGCUCCGGCAAGCAAUCAUCCUAGGUAGGGUUUAAUCCCCAGUAAAAUUGCCAUAUUGCACAUGUCUUAACGAAGUUUGAAUGUUAAGUAAAUUGUAUGUUCA
rnacentral:lncRNA from 1 species